GUUUUCUUCUGCACCUCAUCUUGCAUUUGACCAAAUGAAUUGUUAAUACACUUGCCAGCUUUAAUGAAUUUUUACAUGUGCCAGUUGGGCAUAUGGCCAAUACCAUUUUUAUUUUUUAUUUUAAAUUUUAAAUCUUGCAGAUAGCAUUGCCUUGACCAUACUAACUUGUGCCCAUUCCUUUAUCUUCCCCGAUGUCAUAAGCUUUUCUUUCUUACCAAGAAAAAAAAAACAAUUUCUGCUCUAGAAAAAGUGAAAGCUGCUGCAAAGCUUUACCAAAUCUGCAGCCCAAAUUUUGCAGCAGCAACUACUGCUGGUCAGACCUUCUUUGUUUACUUUGCAGCCAGACUGCAUCCAGCACCCUGCACAAUCUUCAGAAAUAGCAAAGAAAGUAAAAAUGCAUACAAUCAAGUGUAUAACUUUCCCAUCUAUGUAUAUGCUUCUCCUCCACUGAUAGUUCCAUUGGCUUCCAUGUGCUCCGGCAAUUGUUAUGGAGUAAAUAUAUGAAAAGCUAAGUAUAUUUCUGCCUUGUCAUUUUUUAAACUCUGCAGUGUUAUACAUACUUUCUAACUUGUCAUUUUUUAAACUUUGCAGUGUUAUACAUACUGAGUAAGACUACCUAUAGUGUAUGAGUGCACAGAAGCUUCAGUGUCCAAGUCAAACAUAAAGUUCGUACAAUACCAGUGCUGUUUUCCUGCCCUAGGGUUGCAGUUUCCACUUCCUGAUAGGUUGAUUACAUGGGCAAUCGGAGUCCACCGUUGGAGUCAGGGAUGCUAGGGAUGUUGAUUGCCAUCGCCAAUUUGUUGAUCGCCCACCUGUUGCGAACUCUCAAGUCGUAAAGCAGUCAACAUCAAUGCAGGCCAGGUCUCGGCUGGCAUAAUGCCACAACUGGUGGUCUCGUCGUCUCUGUUGGUGUGGAAGCCACCAUCGUCUAGAGUUUAGCCAUCGACGAUGGCAGGCGGAGACGUCACAAAACCAAGGCUCCAUACUCUCGGGUUCAGACUGAUCUUGGCCAAGGUUCAUCAUCUGACUCUAUGGUGCAAGGUUACCUAAUUUGUUUGCAAGCGUUGGCAGUGUGACACCUCUUGGUGGGGUCGUGGCUUCGUCUGGUGUUCCUGCAUCGUCUGGAGAACAAAAACCCUCAAAACACAACGAAAUGACCGAAAUACCCCUAAACUUAACGCCUAGUUGACAGAAAACCUAACGGAGGACCAAUUUGGGGUAGUUUUUAAAAGUCAAGGGACCACAUUGGGUGCAAUUGAAAGUCAAAAUACAAAAUUGAGAAUGAGCAAUAGUCGAUGGGCCAUUUUGGGAAAAAACUCUUUUUAUUGUAAAUGAGUUGAAAGAUUACCCCCUUCAAUUGAUAGACUUCAGAAACAACAUGAAGUUCCAUACACCCCCAAAGCUUGAUUGUGAGAUAAUACUCCUCUUGGAGUGUGCUCAUGACAUAGACUGUGAGACAAAAAAUAAAAACACAGAUUAGGGAGUAAUUUAGAAAACUUAGAAAUAAUUUAGUUAACAAAUAGACGAUUUAAAAUAUACCUUUCUCUGAAUUCAAAGAAUUCCGGAGUUUCGUGGUUGGAAAGAAGUUGUGGGGCAUCAUAGGAACUACAAAUCUUGAUCUCCCCAGCUUCAAAAGGUCACGGUUUGUUGGUAUAAGAAUACAGACCAUUGGUGAUUAUUAUAGAUGGUGAUAGGCAGUGUUACAACUACAGUUUAGGUGUGAUUGUGAUAGGCAGUGUGCGUGCAAGAAGGUGCCAUGUAUAUGUUAGAAUAUGAGAUAUAGUAUACGAUUCAAUACCAAAAUAGUAGAAUAGUAUUUAUUCAUAAAACUCACCUCCUGGUCAUGAAACGACCUAUUUAGAUUUGAUUUGCAAUGAAGCUUUUUCUGUUUGAUUUGCGAUGAAGCUUUUACUGUCAGGUAUGUCGUAUGCUUGUGUUCAUUAGAGAAAUCCAAGUGGCAAGAAUGAGCAUUGUUCUUCAGUAUACGCAGGGCUUUAAUCUUGGCAGAGUUUGUAUUGAAUAUUGAGACUUGUUAGUGUUUGUAUUGAAGAGAAUGUGAUGUAUAUAUAGGACUUUAGAUCUGA